rnacentral:lncRNA from 1 species
UUCUGCACCAGAUCUUUCUACAAUGCUGCAUCGUUUGAUCUCCUUCUCUCUGGAUAAGUUCAUAUCCUUUCGUUCUCACCAAGAUUCAAGCUAUUCGUUGCCAACACUGGAAUUUGAUUUUGAAUCUAUCAACUAAAUUUCCAUGCUUUUGGGUAUCUCAGUCAUCUUUUUGCCCACAAAGAUAAUCACAGGCUUUUUACUGCUUUGGGACUCCAAUGGACUUUUUAUUUGGGCCUUUCUAAUGGAUUCCUAUGUACUUUCUUAUUUAAUGGUUCGCACUGUUCUAAAAUACGGGUUGUUCGGGUCAUUUACGGCAAGCCGUACCUAAUUUAACGAAACGGUCAAAUUAUGAGCUUUACAUAGACUGAUCAUUGAGUUUCUUUCACGAAUUAUACUAUUCAGCAUUAUUUAUGAGUUUUUUUUUUUUUUUUGCUAAAAUAUUUUCUAUUAAAUACGUGAGAAUAAAAAAAUUUACAAAGCCAAGCUUAGUGGCAAAUGCCUUACAAAGAACAAAACCUAAAACUGCAAACAGCACAAAAAGAACCCACUAAAUAUUUAACUUGCCCAAGCUAAUAGUUAGUGAGUAGAUGAGAAGACUGAUGAUUUUGGAAAAGUCAGAGGCCAGAAGCAUA